rnacentral:rRNA from 1 species
UUGAAAGGGAAACGAUUGAAGUCAGUCGUACCAGCGGGAAAUCAACCUUUCGAGUGGGGGUUUUGGAGUUUUGAAGAGUGUCAAAACCUUUGAGAUUUCAAAAUAUUCGCUCUUUUGGUGUACUUUCUCGUGGGUAGGUUAACAUCGAUUUUGAUCAUCAUAAAAAGAUUGGAGGAAUGUAGCUUCGAUCUUGUAUUGAAGUGUUAUAGCCUUUGGUAAAUGUGAUGAUUAGGAUCGAGGAUUGCGACGAAUACCCUUUUGGGCUAUCCGCCUGAUCUCUGAUACGUGGCCUUGGUAUCGAAAGCGUGCUUAUCGUUUAGGUAUUACGGUCAAAAGGUUAGAACGGAUCCCUUCGCUUAAGGAUGUUGACGUA